GAUGAACGCUAGCGGGAGGCCUAACACAUGCAAGCCGAGCGGUAUUUUUUCUUCGGAACAGAGAGAGCGGCGCACGGGUGCGGAACACGUGUGCAACCUGCCUUUAUCUGGGGGAUAGCCUUUCGAAAGGAAGAUUAAUACCCCAUAAUAUAUUGAGUGUCAUCCUUUUAUAUUGAAAACUCCGGUGGAUAGAGAUGUGCACGCGCAAGAUUAGAUAGUUGGUGAGGUAACGGCUCACCAAGUCAAUGAUCUUUAGGGGGCCUGAGAGGGUGAUCCCCCACACUGGUACUGCGACACGGACCAGAAUGGUACGGGAGGCAGCAGUGAGGAAUAUUGUACAAUGGGUUAGCGCCUGAUCAAGCCAUCCCGCGUGAAGGACGACGGCCCUAUGGGUUGUAAACUUCUUUUGAAUAGGGAUAAACCAACUCUCGUGGGAGUAGCUGAAGGUACUAUACGAAUAAGCAACGGCUAACUCCGUG
rnacentral:rRNA from 1 species